rnacentral:rRNA from 1 species
UUCGCCUGGGUAUUACGAGCAUAGCUUAAAACCCAAAGGACUUGGCGGUGCUUUAGACCCACCUAGAGGAGCCUGUUCUACAAUCGAUAAUCCCCGUUCAACCUCACCUCUUCUUGUUUUUCCCGCCUAUAUACCACCGUCGUCAGCUUACCCUGUGAAGGUUAACUAGUAAGCAAAAUUGAUAACAUCCAAAACGCCAGGUCAAGGUGUAGCAUAUGAAAAGGAAAGAAAUGGGCUACAUUUUCUAACUUAACUAUAACAGAUAUUGCUAUGAAACAGCACAUUGAAGGAGGAUUUAGCAGUAAGUAGAGAAUAGAGAGCCCU